CCUACGGGUGGCAGCAGUGAGGAAUAUUGGUCAAUGGACGAGAGUCUGAACCAGCCAAGUAGCGUGAAGGAUGACUGCCCUCUGGGUUGUAAACUUCUUUUAUAUGGGCAUAAAAUGUUCCACGUGUGGGGUUUUGUAUGUACCCUAUGAAUAAGGAUCUGCUAACUCCGUGCCAGCAGCCGCGGUAAUACGGCGGAUCCGUGCGUUAUCCGGAUGUAUUGGGUUUAAAGGGUGCGUAGGUGGAGUAGUAAGUCAGUUGUGAAAGUUUGCGGCUCAAACGUUAAAUUGCAGUUGAAACUGGCAGUCUUGAGUACAGUAGAGGUGGGCGGAAUUCGUGGUGUAGCGGUGAAAUGCUUAGAUAUCACGAAGAACGCCGAUUGCGAAGGCAGUUCACUGGACUGCAACUGACACUGAGGCUCGAAAGUGUGGGUAUCAAACAGGAUUAGAUACCCUGGUAGUC
rnacentral:rRNA from 1 species